ensembl:lncRNA
AUCUCUUCCUGGAGAUUUUUUCUUGCAGAGUUUUUGCAAGCCUACAACACCGCAUCUGUAUAUUUAUUUACUGUACACCAGGUCAAGACCCAACCUAGACAUAAAUUGUCCUAAAUGGUGAUUGCUGAAGAAGAAUGCAACUCUGCCCAAGUUAAUCUAACCUAAUUCAGUGUAGAACUGUCUCAGUUACUGGAAUAUGUCAUCUAACUUUCUAGAUCUAUGAAGAUAUAGAAUUGUUUUUUCAUCUGAAAAAAAGACAGAAGGGCUGCCUGAGAUUAGGCAUUGGCAAAGGGCAAGGUUGAGUGGCGUUUACACAAGGUGAACUUUAUCUGUUGUGGAGAGAAGCAUGGGACAGGAAGGCAAUGAGGAUAGUUGAAAGCAUCUGCACAUAGAGAGGAGAUGUGAUGAAGAAACCAUGGAGAAAGUGAGAAAAGAGAACAAAGAGGCUGGAACUGUGUGGAGGAAUGAAACUGGAUGAGUAUCUAUACUUCAUUGGGAUGCACAAGCUGUACCUCAAUGUCUUUUCAAUAAUUGUACUUUUGGAUCUAUAACUAAAUACUCAUACUAGAGCAUGAAGUAGGUGGACAGAAUUGCAAAGAGAUGAAAAAGAAGAGAAGACAGACUCAUCGUUACCUUUUGUUUAACUAGCUGUCAGGAAAUGAUAGUGUUAUUAAUUGAGAACGUCAUGAACUCAAACUAGAACUCAAAUACUGCUGUACAUAACCGUACAUUGGUUUUUAAAUUUUAGACAGGAGAAUUUCCAUGUUGCAGUCUAAUGUCUUCUCUUAAAAUAUGUGAUAUAUACAAAAUUAUCUUGAUGAAUUAAACACUGAAAAGGCAAAAAGAUACCUUAUCCUCAAUUAAAAGAACAGUCCUCCUCAGCUCAAUGUCUGACUUCUUUGUCUUUCCUAUCUCCCUAUUCCCAGGUGUCCAGGAGAGAAAAAGGGCAAAUCAGUGUGGCUACUGUGCAGCAAUCUAAGCUCUUACAGAUCGAAUGACAGAGAGUAUAUUACAAAAGUAAAGGGCUAAGUCAGAAAAGGUUCUGUAUUUUUCAUAUCAGCCAGACUUUAAAUCAGACAGUUCUGCUGGCUGCAACUGUGGCAUUAACGUGAGGUAAAAGAGCUGCAUAGGUCCAAUCAUGUACCACUGCAAUCAGUGAGACUUAGAAUAGUAAUGAAGCCAGGCUUCUGCUAUGUACAAGCAUUUAAGAUCAAGCCAAUUAAAUACAUUCUGAUAGUAUCCCUUUAAAUAGUCAUUGUUCUUUAAAGGUGCAUCAUUCUAAUAAUAUCCCAAUCAUCUGUUUUUAUGUCUGGUUUCCCUCAAGUACACAACAGAUAGGAAAGAAUACAAUUUGACUUCUAUAAACUGGAAGCAUCUGUAGCCUUGUUUAUUAGAUCCCUACUUCCUCAAGUUUUUUUCAUUUAUAUCUUGAGUGUUGCUGAGCUGGAAGUUACAGAAACCACAGCACAGAAGUCUGCAAUGAUAUUCUUUGAAAUCCUUUUUCAAACUACGUGUUUAUUAAACACUGUUUUUCUGCUACGUUUUUCAUUUAAAUUAAGACCAAUUUUCACAAACUUGUAGAAAUGCACAUUUGGAUAUCAGUAGUCUCGCUCAACCCUAUAAGGCUGUGUGCUUAUGUGUCUGUUGUAAUAAGCAAUUUUGUCAAUAGCCACUUAACACUGGAUUUUCAGAUCAUGACUUCAAGGCAAUUACUGUCUAUUCUAGGGAAGCUGAAUGCUAUAUUGCCUCAAUUGGCAUAUCCUGUCUGGAAUUGUAAUAGUAAUCUGAGCAUUGACUUCAUAUUGGUUAAUAGAAGUAGUGAAAUAUAAAAGGGCAUCACUCAAUGUGCAAGAUCAUGGGUCAGUUUACAGCAGCCUGCUCUCCUGAAUGUCCUAAGAACCUCCAAGCCAGUCACUAUACUGCAGGUCUACUUAGAGAUCAACCUUUCUGCUAAUAUGUAGAUUUAAAUGUCAAAUUCAAGAAUUCAGUCCUGAGCCCAGUCACGUGGCAGAGAGAGAUGUAUAAACAAUCAAUAGUCUUCUGAUGCAUGUUGGAAGUAUUGAACAUGCUUUACUUUGAGAUAACAAGAAGUAAUGUCUGUGAGGAUGAAAGCAUAUGGGGCAUAACAGAUCUUUUGGAAGAGAUUUUGGAGCCUGGGGUUUACCUUCCUUGAAACAAAUUUCUGUGAAGGAAAAAAAAUAUACUAAAUAGGAACCAAAGUGUGUCUGGAGCUAAUCUACUCUCUUAAAUCAGAACAUUUUUGCUUUUAAAUGUUCUAAGUUGGUCUUUAAAGUUGAGCAAAUAAGCACUGUUAAAUAAGAGUCAAACCACAUCUCUGAGCUUUCUGGGGGUUAGCAAAGAGAAAUAAUGGACGAAAUUAUCAUGUUUAAUCCUUAUGUGAAUAAUAUAUGGAUGCAUAAAAAGAAGACUGAUUUGAAUAUUGUCACUGCUGCAUUGUAAAACUGGCGACAUUCUACUGAAACCAGGGGAUUCAUUUUGAACCAAUCUGUCUGUGGCAGAAUAGAAUCAGUAAAUCAAUGCUAUUGAAUAAAUUUCUAUUUACUCUCUCUCUUU